UACGUAGGGCGCAAGCGUUGUCCGGAAUUAUUGGGCGUAAAGAGCUCGUAGGCGGUUUGUCGCGUCUGCUGUGAAAACCUAAGGCUCAACCUUGGGCUUGCAGUGGGUACGGGCAGACUAGAGUGCGGUAGGGGAGACUGGAAUUCCUGGUGUAGCGGUGGAAUGCGCAGAUAUCAGGAGGAACACCGAUGGCGAAGGCAGGUCUCUGGGCCGCAACUGACGCUGAGGAGCGGAAAGCAUGGGGAGCGAACAGG
rnacentral:rRNA from 1 species